rnacentral:rRNA from 1 species
GACGAACGCUGGCGGCGUGCUUAACACAUGCAAGUCGAACGGAAAGGCCCUGCUUUUGUGGGGUGCUCGAGUGGCGAACGGGUGAGUAACACGUGAGUAACCUGCCCUUGACUUUGGGAUAACUUCAGGAAACUGGGGCUAAUACCGGAUAGGAGCUCCUGCUGCAUGGUGGGGUUGGAAAGUUUUGGGGGUUGGGGAUGGAAUCGCGGCUUUUCCGGUUGUUGGUGGGGUAGUGGCUUACCAAGGCUUUGACGGGUAGCCGGCCUGAGAGGGGGACCGGCCACAUUGGGACUGAGAUACGGCCCAGACUCCUACGGGAGGCAGCAGUGGGGAAUAUUGCACAAUGGGCGGAAGCCUGAUGCAGCAACGCCGCGUGCGGGAUGACGGCCUUCGGGCUGUAAACCGCUUUCGCCUGUGACGAAGCGUGAGUGACGGUAAUGGGUAAAGAAGCACCGGCUAACUACGUG